rnacentral:rRNA from 1 species
AUUGAACGCUGGCGGCAUGCCUUACACAUGCAAGUCGAACGGCAGCACGGGAGCAAUCCUGGUGGCGAGUGGCGAACGGGUGAGUAAUAUAUCGGAACGUGCCCAGUCGUGGGGAUAACGUAGCGAAAGCUACGCUAAUACCGCAUACGAUCUAUGGAUGAAAGCGGGGGAUCGCAAGACCUCGCGCGAUUGGAGCGGCCGAUAUCAGAUUAGGUAGUUGGUGAGGUAAAGGCUCACCAAGCCGACGAUCUGUAGCUGGUCUGAGAGGACGACCAGCCACACUGGGACUGAGACACGGCCCAGACUCCUACGGAGGCAGCAGUGGGGAAUUUUGGGACAAUGGGCGCAAGCCUGAUCCAGCAAUGCCGCGUGCAGGAUGAAGGCCUCGGUUGUAAC